rnacentral:rRNA from 1 species
GACGAACGCUGGCGGCGUACUUAACACAUGCAAGUCGAACGGAAAGGCCCUGCUUUUGUGGGGUGCUCGAGUGGCGAACGGGUGAGUAACACGUGAGUAACCUGCCCUUGACUUUGGGAUAACUUCAGGAAACUGGGGCUAAUACCGGAUAGGAGCUCCUGCUGCAUGGUGGGGGUUGGAAAGUUUCGGCGGUUGGGGAUGGACUCGCGGCUUAUCAGCUUGUUGGUGGGGUAGUGGCUUACCAAGGCUUUGACGGGUAGCCGGCCUGAGAGGGUGACCGGCCACAUUGGGACUGAGAUACGGCCCAGAAUCCUACGGGAGGCAGCAGUGGGGAAUAUUGCACAAUGGGCGGAAGCCUGAUGCAGCAACGCCGCGUGCGGGAUGACGGCCUUCGGGUUGUAAACCGCUUUCGCCUGUGACGAAGCGUGAGUGACGGUAAUGGGUAAAGAAGCACCGGCUAACUACGUG